UACAUGGGGUGCAAACGUUGCUCGGAAUUAUUGGGCGUAAAGCGCGCGUAGGCGGUUACUCAAGUCGGAUGUGAAAGCCCUCGGCUUAACUGAGGAAGUGCACCCGAAACUGAGUAGCUAGAGUACUAAAGAGGGUCGCGGAAUUCCCGGUGUAGAGGUGAAAUUCGUAGAUAUCGAGAGGAACACCGGUGGCGAAGGCGGCCUUCUGGACAGUGACUGACGCUGAGACGCGAAAGCGUGGGGAGCAAACAGG
rnacentral:rRNA from 1 species